UACAGAGGUGCCAAGCGUUAGGCGGAAUCACUGGGCUUAAAGCGCGUGUAGGUGGACGGGUAAGUAUCUUGUGAAAUCCCACGGCUCAACCGUGGAACUGCUGGAUAUACUGCUUGUCUUGAGGCACUUAGGGGCAGCUGGAACAAAUGGUGGAGCGGUGAAAUGCGUAGAUAUCAUUUGGAACGCCAAAGGCGAAAGCAGGCUGCUGGGAGUGAUCUGACACUGAGAC
rnacentral:rRNA from 1 species